AGAGUUUGAUCAUGGCUCAGGAUGAACGCUAGCGGCAGGCUUAACACAUGCAAGUCGAGGGGUAUAGUUCUUCGGAACUAGAGACCGGCGCACGGGUGCGUAACGCGUAUGCAAUCUACCUUUCACAAAGGGAUAGCCCAGAGAAAUUUGGAUUAAUACCUUAUAGCAUAGCGAGUUCGCAUGGAUUUGCUAUUAAAGAUUUAUCGGUGAAAGAUGAGCAUGCGUCCCAUUAGCUAGUUGGUAAGGUAACGGCUUACCAAGGCUACGAUGGGUAGGGGUCCUGAGAGGGAGAUCCCCCACACUGGUACUGAGACACGGACCAGACUCCUACGGGAGGCAGCAGUGAGGAAUAUUGGUCAAUGGGCGCAAGCCUGAACCAGCCAUGCCGCGUGCAGGAUGACGGUCCUAUGGAUUGUAAACUGCUUUUGUACAGGAAGAAACACCCCGACGUGUCGGGACUUGACGGUACUGUAAGAAUAAGGAUCGGCUAACUCCGUGCCAGCAGCCGCGGUAAUACGGAGGAUCCAAGCGUUAUCCGGAAUCAUUGGGUUUAAAGGGUCCGUAGGCGGCUUAAUAAGUCAGUGGUGAAAUCCCUACGCUUAACGUAGGAACGGCCAUUGAUACUGUUAGGCUUGAAUUAUUAGGAAGUAACUAGAAUAUGUAGUGUAGCGGUGAAAUGCUUAGAGAUUACAUGGAAUACCAAUUGCGAAGGCAGGUUACUACUAAUGGAUUGACGCUGAUGGACGAAAGCGUGGGUAGCGAACAGGAUUAGAUACCCUGGUAGUCCACGCCGUAAACGAUGGAUACUAGCUGUUGGAAGCAAUUUCAGUGGCUAAGCGAAAGUGAUAAGUAUCCCACCUGGGGAGUACGUUCGCAAGAUGAACUCAAGGAAUUGACGGGG
rnacentral:rRNA from 1 species